rnacentral:rRNA from 1 species
AUGGAGCAACCACAUGAGCAACUGUGUAUGAAGUUGUGUUUUAGGGAUCAGCAUCAAUUCAGAGAAGCUUUAUUGAAUUUGCACAUCACCCAGGCCAGGAAUUUCAAGUAUCACAGGAAUUCAGAUCAGAGGAUAAUUGUUGAGUGUACAGAUAAAAAAUGCCAGUUCUUAAUGGUGGCAGCAGUUAUAAAAGGGGAGAAAACAUUUGUAAUUAAGAAGAUGAGACUAGAGCACACUUGCCCUAGUACCACUGAGACCACCAGGGUUAGUGCUAAGUGGCUAGCACAGAAAUAUGAGCAUCUCUUUAGAUCUGAUAUAACUACUGGUAUUCAGACUAUAAUUGAUGCAUGCAAUGAAAAAUAUGGUGUAGAUGUGCCCAAGUGCAUGGCAUAUAGGGCAAAGAACAUAGCUAUUGAUGCUGUGUUAGGAGAUCACAGGAAGCAAUAUCCUAGGCUUAAAGACUAUGCUCAGACUGUCAUGGACACAAACCCUGGGAGUAGAGUAAUAGUCACUACUGUUACUCCAGUACCUAAUGCAAAAAUACCCCACCCAGGCCCAAGAUUCCAUGCCAUGUUUUUUUGCCUUAAUGGAGCAAGGGAGGGGUUUCUCAAUGGGUGUAGGCCUUUCAUUGGUUAG